GAUGAAGAACGUAGCGAAAUGCGAUAAGUAGUGUGAAUUGCAGAAUUCAGUGAAUCAUCGAAUCUUUGAACGCACAUUGCGCCCCUUGGUAUUCCAUGGGGCAUGCCUGUUCGAGCGUCAUUUGUACCUUCAAGCUUUGCUUGGUGUUGGGUGUUUGUCCUGAGGGACUCGCCUAAAAGUAAUUGGCAGCCAGUGUUUGGUUUUGAAGCGCAGCACAAGUCGCGAUUCAAGGCUAUACACCAGCUUCCACAAGCCUUUUUCACUUUUGACCUCGGAUCAGGUAGGGAUACCCGCUGAACUUAAGCAUAUCAAUAAGCGGAGGA
rnacentral:misc_RNA from 1 species